rnacentral:misc_RNA from 1 species
GAUGAAGAACGUAGCGAAAUGCGAUAAGUAAUGUGAAUUGCAGAAUUCCGUGAAUCAUCGAAUCUUUGAACGCACAUUGCGCCCAUUAGCAUUCUAGUGGGCAUGCCUGUUCGAGCGUCAUUUCAACCCUUAAGCCCUGUUGCUUAGCGUUGGGAGCCUACAGUACUGUAGCUCCCCAAAGUUAGUGGCGGAGUCGGUUUCACACUCUAGACGUAGUAAUUUUUUCUCGUCUGUAGUUGAGCCGGUCCCCUGCCGUAAAACACCCAAUUUAUCAAGGUUGACCUCGGAUCAGGUAGGAAUACCCGCUGAACUUAAGCAUAUCAAUAAGCGGAGGA